GAGCGGCGCCGCCCCUGCUCCUGCCGUGCCCCGCUCUUGGAGCGAGUCGUCGUACGUAGCUGUUGCCACGUAUCUUCAGAAAUCCUGAUGCAGCUCUUUCAUACCGAGAUACUCCGUGGUUCCCAUGAUUUGCCGCAGUUCAGUACUAUUCUCAAUCUUCCGAGACAUGCCAAAAUCUACAAUCUUCACAUCACCAAGAGGAUUGAUGCUGCUCAGCAAAAUGUUUUGAGGCUAGAACAGAAAAAAAUUCUCAGCUCACAGAAUACAAACUGCAAAAAAGUAACAGUAA